UCUUGCUGAUAGAUGCUAACCACAGAGUUUCAGCUAAAGCUAUUUAGAAAUAGAUGUUGCAAAAUCGCAUAUGCUUGUACGUCUAAUCGUUUUGUUCCGUGUAGCAACAGCAGGCAUUAUUAGGAACGCUCAUGUGUUAUCGACAAUAUAUGGUAUUACUGUGUCAUGUGACACCUCUACUGCAAUGCAAAUGGAAGUGCUCAAUAAAAGGAACUGCGAGAGAAGCCCUCCUCCGAAGUCGGCUGAGUCGAGUCAAGAGACGAGUCUCUGACCGGACCGGGCUUCCCUGCUGUGAGAUAAAGAGAUCACCGGUGUUGCGUCUUGCUUUGUAUCCAGAGACUGGUCACCCAGCAGGGGUUCAACACCUAGGCUGAACCCAACAGAGCCUGUCUCCGCCGAGUCCGUUGUUGAGGCCAGGUUUUUAUUCCACCCGGGAGAGUUUCUCGGGCAUCGAGGGAUAACGACGAAAGUUCAUUAGCUCGUGUGCAUGUGUGAGGAGACGCGCGUGCACGAGGACAUCGGACGGCGAGGUUUGCCCAAGGAUUUCACGCUUUAAGAGGCUGAGAAAACGUCACAACCGGCUCGAAGGGACACGGUUUGAACUUUAUUUUUCCUACUGGAAGACCAUCUCACUGAUAUUGUGGUAGGAUUGUGCAAUUACCUUUCAUUGAUUAAAUGGAUGAGGACUGAA